AGACGUAGGGGGCUAGCGUUGUCCGGAAUUACUGGGCGUAAAGGGCGUGUAGGCGGCCAGGCAAGUCAGUGGUGAAACACCUGGGCUUAACCGAGGUAUUGCCGUUGAAACUUUCUGGCUUGAGGAUAGAAGAGGAGUGUGGAAUUCCCGGUGUAGCGGUGAAAUGCGUUGAGAUCGGGAGGAACACCAGUGGCGAAGGCGGCACUCUGGUCUAUACCUGACGCUGAGGCGCGAAAGCUAGGGAAGCAAACAGGAUUAGAUACCCUGGUAGUCCUAGCCGUAAACGAUGGGCACUAGGUGUAGGAGGUUUAGAUACCUUCUGUGCCGUAGCUAACGCAUUAAGUGCCCCGCCUGGGGACUACGGUCGCAAGGCUAAA
rnacentral:rRNA from 1 species